GGGUCACGAGGAAGUGAUGGCGACAACAGCGAAGAGACAUGUUGAGCUAUGCUCCGUGGCACAGUCAUGGUUUUACGUUGGUAACAUGUCCGGUUAUGCUGGACUUAUGCUGUAAAGGUGUGUAGACGAACGACCAGUGUAGCGGCGUAAGUUAGUCGUGUUGUGUUGAGUUAUUUCGGAGAACUCGGGCUGAGCUAACCCGGGAAGCUAACGCGGCUAGCGCUAUCUUACUCGUCAAAGAGUUGUACAAGUGCAGCCUGCUCGGACAUGUUGGACACGUCGUCUGGACUACUACGUUAAACACACGGAGACCAAGAGACUGAGGUAUCCAACGGACAGUGGAGAGCUCAGGUAGCCAGACAUCUCAGCAGCCCAUUUGGAAGUUUUGCUGCAACUGCAAACGAGAGGACUGGAUCAUCAUGGACCUUGUAAAGAUGUUCGAUAACACCUUGAGUCACAGACAAACAUGUCUAUUUGUACUGAGCUGAGCAAAGGAGCUCCCAUGAGGAGCAUUUUUCAUAUCUGCUGUCGUUUAUGGAGGUUAUGUACAUAUUCCCCUAUACCAUCAUCUCCUGGGCUGCCUCCGCAUGAAGCUAUGCUAACUUCAAUACACCAAGACACAAAGGCUUCAACAGUGCCUCAAACGUUUGUUUUUUUUGUUUUUUUAUUUAACGGACAGUAAAUCUGUGAUCUAAUUACCCAUAUCACUGCAGUUAAUAAGGCAUGAUUAAUUAGAUUCACAGUGCAUUUGCAGGUGUCUCUAUUCUCCUCCUCCCACAUUUGGGGUCCUUCAACUGCACAGAAUACAUAAUGCACUAAACCACACACACAGCAUGCAGCCACACGAAUUAUAUGUUGCCAACCUAAAAAGUAGCGGACACCUUUAACUUUAUAACAAUAUCACUUUUUCUGUUUAUAUUUAACUGCUUUACUUCAGCUUUGAGUAGAUGCACAUGCAGCGCCUCCACACACACACUAGUAGACGAGCAACCCUUAACUGAUGUUCACCACCCUGACUUUUUACUUAAUUUACAUACUGCAGUAUUUUCCAUGAUGGUUAACUGACUGGUAGACAGUGAAGAUGGAUUACUCAGUAAUUCGAGUCAAAUUGAAAGUCUGGUUUUGUUGAAAUUGAUAUUAGGCUUUUCCAGUUAAGACAUGCAUUGCAGAUUAUUAUCUUGACUGCAUUCAUGAAAAUAAUGCACAUUAAACUGGCAUCUUAAACUAUGUGAUCCAUUUAUUAAUUUCAUCUUGGCUGUAGCCUUGAGGUCAGUCUCACAUGGUCUUGAAACUGUAUUUGCUCGUUAAGCAACGACCACAUCCAGUUAAUAUUUGCCGUCGAAAUGGAAUGGCCUGAGAUAUGAGGUGUUCUGCAUGGAUUAUAAACUGAGACUGAGAGACUCUUUUCUAUAAAGAAGUGUUGAUAUACAGCACAGGGGUCAGUGACAUAUUUCAUACAUACUGUUCCCAGGGUAAUGCUCCACCUUAGGGGCAGGCAAUAUGACCUAAAAUUUAUAUCAUGGUAUUUUUUUUUUUUAUGUGCUUUGUGGUGUCAUAUCACAACAUUACAAAAAAUAAAAGAGAUA